AUGUUGAAACAUCUGGAUCUGCAGGAUGAUGAACUUGAUGACGUCGUGGUGGGAGAAGAAGAGGUGAAAAAGUAUGCAGCAGAUGCGAGAUGGCUUGCGAUUGGGAAGGUAAACACGACAAGGCAGUUUAGCGCAUCGGCGAUGUUCGAGAAGCUGAAGUCAGUCUGGAGGCUUGCUAAUGUGCCAACUUAUCGCGAGGCAGGUGAAAAUCUCUUCAUCUUUCAGAUGUUUGCCCUGGGUGAUUGGAAGAAGGUUGUGCAUGGAGGUCCAUGGCUGUUUAGGGGGAUGGGGAUGCUAAUCGAGGAUUAUGGCGGCAAGCAGGAGCCGUCUUCUGUCAUUUUUUAUGGUCUGUAUGUUUGGGCCCAGAUCCACAACAUCCCGAAGCUAUACCGGAAAGCAGAAGCAGUAGAUCAACUAGCUCGCCGCAUUGGUCGCGUGAAGGAGACACAACUCUCGCCUCGCCUCUUUUAUGAAGGUGAUUAUGUCAGGGUUCGUGCGAGGAUACAGGUUAAUAAACCGCUGACGAGAGUGACGUCCCUGAAUGUUACUGGUGAGGGUAGGAAGUUUCUCCCGGUGAAUUAUGAGAAGAUCCCUUUUUUCUGCAAAGUUUGCGGUUUCAUGGGUCACAAUCAUGAGGAAUGCGGUGAUGGUGUUUGGGAGGAGAAGAACAAACAGUGGGGAAGCUGGAUGCUAGCAACUAGAAGGGAGUCACCUCAGGAGCAGCCCAGCUAG
rnacentral:rRNA from 1 species